GAAACAUGGGUUAGAAAAGGACAGAGAGAGAUAUUUUUUAAGGAGCUUCUACAACAACUUGCAAUCUGUAUUGCUUUGCAACUUGCUUUGCAUUUUGCUCAGCAUUUUGCUUUAUGCGCGCGCAACGACUCGAAAAUUUCACGUUCCAUUCACAUUCCGGUCAUUCCUCAAAUUCAAUAACAUUCACUGUCUGCAAUCAGAACUAAUCUCUGCUGCAAUGUUAUAAAUUAAUUAUUAAUUAACAAUUGAUUAAUUUAUAAACAAUUGUAAUUAAUGAAUUUGAGUCACCGCAGUAAUUAGGAUUGAUUAUUAAUUUGCGACGUCUUCCUAUUGUAUGUCGAGACAAUAUAUUUAGACACUUUCCGGCCCGGGAUAAUGCAAGGAACGAUAUCCUUUUACAGCGCCAGGAGGAGGUUCUGUGGGACGCAUGGGUGAAGAUUCCCGAAAAAAAAGGAAACUCUGCUAUUUUGAAUUAAGAGAUUUGUUCCAAAAUAAAAAAUAACAUUUAAAGUUCUUUGCAGUUCUUAAAUUUAAAUAAUAAAUAAAUAACAACAUUACACAAA